rnacentral:rRNA from 1 species
GAUGAACGCUGGCGGCGUGCCUAAUACAUGCAAGUCGAGCGAACAGACGAGGAGCUUGCUCCUCUGACGUUAGCGGCGGACGGGUGAGUAACACGUGGAUAACCUACCUAUAAGACUGGGAUAACUUCGGGAAACCGGAGCUAAUACCGGAUAAUAUAUUGAACCGCAUGGUUCAAUAGUGAAAGACGGUUUCGCUGUCACUUAUAGAUGGAUCCGCGCCGCAUUAGCUAGUUGGUAAGGUAACGGCUUACCAAGGCAACGAUGCGUAGCCGACCUGAGAGGGUGAUCGGCCACACUGGAACUGAGACACGGUCCAGACUCCUACGGGAGGCAGCAGUAGGGAAUCUUCCGCAAUGGCGAAAGCCUGACGGAGCAACGCCGCGUGAGUGAUGAAGGUCUUCGGAUCGUAAAACUCUGUUAUUAGGGAAGAACAAAUGUGUAAGUAACUAUGCACGUCUUGACGGUACCUAAUCAGAAAGCCACGGCUAACUACGUG